rnacentral:rRNA from 1 species
UAAGUUAGAAAGGGCGCACGGUGGAUGCCUUGACACUAGGAGUCGAUGAAGGACGGGACUAACGCCGAUAUGCUUCGGGGAGCUGUAAGUAAGCUUUGAUCCGAAGAUUUCCGAAUGGGGAAACCCACCAUACGUAAUGGUAUGGUAUCCUUAUCUGAAUACAUAGGGUAAGGAAGACAGACCCAGGGAACUGAAACAUCUAAGUACCUGGAGGAAGAGAAAGCAAAUGCGAUUUCCUGAGUAGCGGCGAGCGAAACGGAACAUAGCCCAAACCAAGAGGCUUGCCUCUUGGGGUUGUAGGACAUUCUAUACGGAGUUACAAAGGAACGAGGUAGACGAAGCGACCUGGAAAGGUCCGUCGUAGAGGGUAACAACCCCGUAGUCGAAACUUCGUUCUCUCUUGAAUGUAUCCUGAGUACGGCGGAACACGUGAAAUUCCGUCGGAAUCUGGGAGGACCAUCUCCCAAGGCUAAAUACUCCCUAGUGAUCGAUAGUGAACCAGUACCGUGAGGGAAAGGUGAAAAGCACCCCGGAAGGGGAGUGAAAGAGAUCCUGAAACCGUGUGCCUACAAAUAGUCAGAGCCCGUUAAUGGGUGAUGGCGUGCCUUUUGUAGAAUGAACCGGCGAGUUACGAUCCCGUGCGAGGUUAAGCUGAAGAGGCGGAGCCGCAGCGAAAGCGAGUCUGAAUAGGGCGUUUAGUACGUGGUCGUAGACCCGAAACCAGGUGAUCUACCCAUGUCCAGGGUGAAGUUCAGGUAACACUGAAUGGAGGCCCGAACCCACGCACGUUGAAAAGUGCGGGGAUGAGGUGUGGGUAGCGGAGAAAUUCCAAUCGAACCUGGAGAUAGCUGGUUCUCCCCGAAAUAGCUUUAGGGCUAGCCUUAAGUGUAAGAGUCUUGGAGGUAGAGCACUGAUUGGACUAGGGGUCCUCAUCGGAUUACCGAAUUCAGUCAAACUCCGAAUGCCAAUGACUUAUCCUUAGGAGUCAGACUGCGAGUGAUAAGAUCCGUAGUCAAAAGGGAAACAGCCCAGACCGCCAGCUAAGGUCCCAAAGUGUGUAUUAAGUGGAAAAGGAUGUGGAGUUGCUUAGACAACUAGGAUGUUGGCUUAGAAGCAGCCACCAUUUAAAGAGUGCGUAAUAGCUCACUAGUCGAGUGACUCUGCGCCGAAAAUGUACCGGGGCUAAAUACACCACCGAAGCUGCGGAUUGAUACCAAUGGUAUCAGUGGUAGGGGAGCGUUCUAAGGGCAGUGAAGUCAGACCGGAAGGACUGGUGGAGUGCUUAGAAGUGAGAAUGCCGGUAUGAGUAGCGAAAGACGGGUGAGAAUCCCGUCCACCGAAUGCCUAAGGUUUCCUGAGGAAGGCUCGUCCGCUCAGGGUUAGUCAGGACCUAAGCCGAGGCCGACAGGCGUAGGCGAUGGACAACAGGUUGAUAUUCCUGUACCACCUCUUUAUCGUUUGAGCAAUGGAGGGACGCAGAAGGAUAGAAGAAGCGUGCGAUUGGUUGUGCACGUCCAAGCAGUUAGGCUGAUAAGUAGGCAAAUCCGCUUAUCGUGAAGGCUGAGCUGUGAUGGGGAAGCUCCUUAUGGAGCGAAGUCUUUGAUUCCCCGCUGCCAAGAAAAGCUUCUAGCGAGAUAAAAGGUGCCUGUACCGCAAACCGACACAGGUAGGCGAGGAGAGAAUCCUAAGGUGUGCGAGAGAACUCUGGUUAAGGAACUCGGCAAAAUGACCCCGUAACUUCGGGAGAAGGGGUGCUUUCUUAACGGAAAGCCGCAGUGAAUAGGCCCAAGCGACUGUUUAGCAAAAACACAGCUCUCUGCGAAGCCGUAAGGCGAAGUAUAGGGGGUGACACCUGCCCGGUGCUGGAAGGUUAAGGAGAGGGGUUAGCGUAAGCGAAGCUCUGAACUGAAGCCCCAGUAAACGGCGGCCGUAACUAUAACGGUCCUAAGGUAGCGAAAUUCCUUGUCGGGUAAGUUCCGACCCGCACGAAAGGUGUAACGAUUUGGGCACUGUCUCAACCAGAGACUCGGUGAAAUUAUAGUACCUGUGAAGAUGCAGGUUACCCGCGACAGGACGGAAAGACCCCGUGGAGCUUUACUGUAGCCUGAUAUUGAAUUUUGGUACAGUUUGUACAGGAUAGGCGGGAGCCUUUGAAACCGGAGCGCUAGCUUCGGUGGAGGCGCUGGUGGGAUACCGCCCUGACUGUAUUGAAAUUCUAACCUACGGGUCUUAUCGACCCGGGAGACAGUGUCAGGUGGGCAGUUUGACUGGGGCGGUCGCCUCCUAAAGUGUAACGGAGGCGCCCAAAGGUUCCCUCAGAAUGGUUGGAAAUCAUUCGUAGAGUGCAAAGGCAUAAGGGAGCUUGACUGCGAGACCUACAAGUCGAGCAGGGACGAAAGUCGGGCUUAGUGAUCCGGUGGUUCCGCAUGGAAGGGCCAUCGCUCAACGGAUAAAAGCUACCCCGGGGAUAACAGGCUUAUCUCCCCCAAGAGUCCACAUCGACGGGGAGGUUUGGCACCUCGAUGUCGGCUCAUCGCAUCCUGGGGCUGUAGUCGGUCCCAAGGGUUGGGCUGUUCGCCCAUUAAAGCGGUACGCGAGCUGGGUUCAGAACGUCGUGAGACAGUUCGGUCCCUAUCCGUCGUGGGCGUAGGAAAUUUGAGAGGAGCUGUCCUUAGUACGAGAGGACCGGGAUGGACGCACCGCUGGUGUACCAGUUGUUCUGCCAAGGGCAUAGCUGGGUAGCUAUGUGCGGAAGGGAUAAGUGCUGAAAGCAUCUAAGCAUGAAGCCCCCCUCAAGAUGAGAUUUCCCAUAGCGUAAGCUAGUAAGAUCCCUGAAAGAUGAUCAGGUUGAUAGGUUCGAGGUGGAAGCAUGGUGACAUGUGGAGCUGACGAAUACUAAUAGAUCGAGGACUUAACCA